AACAGAUGCCCUGCUGUCUUGAUCUUACGCCCUUGUUCAGUUUGACUGUGUCUUCAUUCCAAACGCCUUGGGAUGGCUGCCCCGCCGUCCCGCCGUCCCUCCGCCCCUUCCGGCUGUUCUCUCCUGAGUUGCCUUGAAGAAACCGCGUGCCUCACCUCUCUGCCUACCCAGCUCCUGCCGAGGCCACCGCGACCCCCCGUCAAGCACCGUGCUGGCGUCCUUCGCCUCUGUGCCCCUUGGCACUGCUGGUCCUCUGGCUGCAAGCACUGUCCCAGCUUGGCUGCCAGCAUCGCUCACCUGUCCCUUGUCCUCGCCAGCUCCCCGGCUGCCUCGUUCCCGUCAUUCCUACUGGCUCCUCCUGGAUGCGAAUUCUGGGGCGAUUCGAGGGCGUCUUCUCACGCCCAGCUGCACUGUCCCUCAGCGACUGUGUCCACUUGGCCACCCUAAGGAGCAUCACUGUGCACAGAACUGUGGAUCAAGUAGCCUGGGCCUGGCUGAAUGCCCCUGCGUGGUUGCACGUCCGUGUCCCACGGGCACUGCAGCCCCAGUGUCCAAAGGUGUCCUUGAUCUCCUUUGCCUCAGACCUGCUGCACACAUUCUCUACCUUUCGAAAUGAACAGGUCCGCCAUUCUCCCGUGCUCAGGUGGGAAACACAGGGCUAUCUCUUUCUUUCACCCCAUCGCCUGCCCCCAACACCUCUCUCCCUGAUCCCGGGCCCCUCCCUCACCCACAGCCUGUCCCCUGAAUCACCUGCUCUUACCUGGGUUACUGGAAAAGCCUGUUGGCCUCUCCUCUUGUCUUGCCGCUUGACAAGGUAAGGGCAGCCAGGGAGGGCUUUUCAAAUGUAACUCAUAUCACAUUUCACAUUAUUCUGAUCAUCAUGUGCUCCCAGUGGCUGUCCCUUGCCAACAAUAAAGUGCACACACACACACACACACGCACACUCACACACUCACACACUUUCCGCUGUGGUUCUCAAGAGACAGCACGGAGUGUCCGUUUUAUCAAUGGAAAAAAACCCUGAGCCCUUUCUGGCCAUAACGCGCUCAGGCCGUCACGUAAUCCUGUGUGUAAUAAUAACUAAAGUUUUAAACCAUUCAAUCCCUGUGUGGCAGGAAGAGUUCCAAGGCAGGUGCUAUUAUUGUUCUCAUUCUGCAGAUGAGGACACUGAGAUUGAGAUGCUUCGUGAGCUGUCCGGGUGACACAGCCACAGGCACCGGGACCCCGUGGUGAGCCCGUGCAGCCCGGUUCCAUGCAGUCGGACCCUGGAUGGGGGAGGUACACAUCUCCGAAUUCCAGAGGCUACCUGCACAAGUGGACAUGUCAUCUUAUAGACAGAAGCCACACGUGAACACCCCCCACCCCCGCUCUUCCCCAGCUGUGCUAGCAUCACAAUGUGGAACCUGAUGUGAGGAGCUCAGACGUCAACCAGCCUUCCUUCUUUAGACGCCUAGGGCUCUACCGCCAAGACCUCUGUAUUCUCAGACCCUCAGGCCAAGGCCGUGUCUUACUCUUCCUUUGUUGCAAUUUCCGUCUUCAUUCGGAUGGUUUCUAAGAUACUGUUUUAAAAAAGCCUUUACCUGGAAGUAAUUAUUUCUUUCUCAACAAUGUGCCAAAAAGUAGCUCUGAGUUUCUGAUGUUUAUUUUUUAGAAAUAUUUUCGGGUUGACUCUCAAAACACGUUUAUAUAGAUUCACAGCUGCUAGCUCCCCAGGACUUUUACCUUGCUCCCCCUUUCCCAGGGAGACCAAGGCCCCAUCCUCUGGGCUGAGACCAUGACCAUCUGGUGCAGGGUGUCAUCUCCGGCAUCUGGAACGUUCAGACAUCUCCUCAGGAUGGAUGUGUGCAGGAAUCACAGGAAAACCUGGGGACGGAGAUGAUUCAUUCAGAACCUUUUAAAGCCUAAAGCGGGUGGUAUUUUCUGAGAAGCUCUUUGAGGUGCGUCAAGUUGAAGCAAUCAAAAAACAGUCACAGUGAAAAAUAAGGCUAUGAACUUGACUUCUACCUAUAUGCAAUACAUUAAGCCUAAUGGAGAUAUCCAAAGCAUGCAUUUGCUCUAGUGAGUUUAUUUCCUUAUUUCCCAUCUAUUCUAGAAAUGGUCUCAGAUGCUUACAGUAAAGGCGGAGCUACAAGGUUAGUAAAGUAUGCCUGUAGCAUCGGGAACGUGGAAAGUAGAGGCAAAUGCACCGACAUUAUGGUGUAAUAGGGGUGUGGCAACAAGA